GUGCUAUAUGAAAAGAGAAAAGGUUAGCAUGCCCCUUUAGGAGGAUGGAAGAGGCCAUUGAACCUAAUAACAUGCAUACAGUUAAGGCAUUGCCACCUACUUCAUGGCAUCAAAAAUUAUUGAU
ensembl:snRNA